GGUACAGAAAGUUAAAACAGCACUCUCAAAUCUUACAGCAGCAGGAAUAUCAGAAGAAGGGACAUUUGAGACCCCAGAAGAGGCAGACUUUUGGGACCCCUCUGGAGAUUGGGAAGGGGAUAAUUGAGUAGAUUCCUCCUCCCAGGGCCAAAAUGCCAUUGCAGCAUUAACAACAGUGCCUGCUUCUGCCUCAGAUCUCCAGGCCAUGGCAAAGUGGCUGGGGAUUUUAAAA